GCUUUUUCUUUUACCCUAAGAGCUCCGAAUCUCAUCUGACCUUGGAUGCUAAGCAGAGUGGGCCCUAGUUAGUACUUUGAUGGGACACCACCAAGAAAUUCCAGGUGCUGUAGGCU
rnacentral:rRNA from 1 species